rnacentral:rRNA from 1 species
CCUACGGGCGGCAGCAGUAGGGAAUCUUUCACAAUGGGCGAAAGCCUGAUGGAGCAACGCCGCGUGCAGGAUGAAGGCCUUCGGGUUGUAAACUGCUUUUAUAAGCGAGAAAUAUGAUGGUAACUUAUGAAUAAGGAUCGGCUAACUACGUGCCAGCAGCCGCGGUCAUACGUAGGAUCCGAGCAUUAUCCGGAGUGACUGGGUGUAAAGAGUUGCGUAGGUGGCAUAAUAAGUAGCUAGUGAAAUCUGGUGGCUCAACCAUUCAGACUAUUAGCUAAACUGUUAAGCUCGAGACCGUUAGAGGUAACUGGAAUUUCUAGUGUAGGAGUGAAAUCCGUAGAUAUUAGAAGGAACACCAAUAGCGUAGGCAGGUUGCUGGGACGGUUCUGACACUAAGGCACGAAAGCGUAGGGAGCAAACGGGAUUAGAUACCCCAGUAGUC